UACGUAGGGCGCAAGCGUUGUCCGGAAUUAUUGGGCGUGAAGAGCUCGUAGGCGGUGUGUCGCGUCGGCCGUGAAAACCUGCAGCUUAACUGUGGGCGUGCGGUCGAUACGGGCAUCACUGGAGUUCGGCAGGGGAGACUGGAAUUCCUGGUGUAGCGGUGAAAUGCGCAGAUAUCAGGAGGAACACCGGUGGCGAAGGCGGGUCUCUGGGCCGAUACUGACGCUGAGGAGCGAAAGCGUGGGGAGCAAACAGG
rnacentral:rRNA from 1 species